rnacentral:rRNA from 1 species
UUACUAGAGUAGCACUCGCAUAUCAAUAAGCGGAGGAAAAGAAACUAACAAGGAUUCCCCUAGUAACGGCGAGUGAAGCGGGAAGAGCUCAAAUUUGAAAUCUUAAAGGGUUUCCCUUUACGAAUUGUAGUUUAAAGAAGUGUUUUCUGUUGAGGUUUUGGUAAAAGUUCUUUGGAAUAGGACAUCAUAGAGGGUGAGAAUCCCGUAUUUGACCUUUACUUUCAACUUUGUGAUACACUUUCAAAGAGUCGGAUUGUUUGGGAAUGCAGUCCAAAAUGGGUGGUAAAUUUCAGUCUAAAGCUAAAUAUUGGCGAGAGACCGAUAGCGAACAAGUACCGUGAGGGAAAGAUGAAAAGAACUUUGAAAAGAGAGUUAAACAGUACGUGAAAUUGUCAAAAGGGAAGCGUUUGACACCAGUGUUGUUUUUCUGAAAAUCAAUUAAAGAACUGUUUAUGCUAAGCUGUUUAGACUUUAUCAGCUAUCUGUUUAGUUUUGAGCUUUUCUUUAAUGCACUUUUCAGUUAACAAGUCAACAUCAAUUUCUUUUGCUGUAAAAAAGCUUGAGGAAGGUGGCUUGAGAUUCGUCUUAAGUGUUUAUAGCCUCUUGCCUAUGCAGUCGGAGAGAUUGAGGUCUGCAGCGUAGAUCCUUCGGGGCUAAAUGCAUUUGUGCUAAGUUAUAGCAUUUUAUAGACAACUUGUUGACUAUGAUUUGUCUUGUAGCUUACUCGCUUAUGUUAUUUUACCUACGCUUAGGAUGUUGAGCGCAUGUCUCUCUCU